rnacentral:rRNA from 1 species
UACGGAGGGUGCAAGCGUUAUCCGGAAUCACUGGGCUUAAAGGGUGCGUAGGCGGGCAGGCAAGUCAGUGGUGAAAUCUCCGGGCUUAACUCGGAAACUGCCAUUGAUACUAUCUUUCUUGAAUACCGUGGAGGUCAGCGGAAUAUGUCAUGUAGCGGUGAAAUGCUUAGAUAUGACAUAGAACACCAAUUGCGAAGGCAGCUGGCUACACGAAUAUUGACACUGAUGCACGAAAGCGUGGGGAUCAAACAGG